rnacentral:rRNA from 1 species
UACGUAGGGUGCGAGCGUUAAUCGGAAUUACUGGGCGUAAAGCGUGCGCAGGCGGCUUUGCAAGACAGAUGUGAAAUCCCCGGGCUCAACCUGGGAACUGCUUUCAAAACUGCUGAGCUAGAGUACGGUAGAGGGUGGUGGAAUUUCCUGUGUAGCGGUGAAAUGCGUAGAUAUGCGGAGGAACACCAAUGGCGAAGGCAAUCCCCUGGGCCUGUACUGACGCUCAUGCACGAAAGCGUGGGGAGCAAACAGG